UCCAAUAGAAAAAGUACUAGAGUAUAACAAGUGUAUCAGGGUUGUAACCGGACAAUGACAAACCUUAAAAAAGACAGUAAUAUGAUGAAAUAAUACAAAUAGCACCAGUCACCCUCUUAUCUUAAUUUUCCUCAUCUUUUCUCUUUAU